AUUAUUUUGGCAGAUUAGUGCAUUAAAUUUAGAAUUUAAUUAUAUAGAUUAUUCUAUAAAUAAUA
rnacentral:tRNA from 1 species